UAUAUAAAGGACCUUAUGGCCUCCCAAUUGCGACCAUAUCUUCCUGAGAACAACCUUAAAGAGUCAUUGGUCAUGUAGAGUGAGAGGGAGAUCUAUCUUAAGCUUAUAAGUGUGAUUAUGUGUAACAACGCAAAUUUUCAAACAAAUUUUUCAUUUUAAAAAUAUAUUUAUUUCCAUUCAUAACAAGGCAUAAAUAGUUUAAGUAGUCAGUCAAAUACAAAUAAUCAAAAUCCCAAGAUCAUAAAAGCAUUCUUCAGUGUGUAUCGAUCACGCCGGUGCCUUCCCACGGUCCUCGCUAGUACCUGAAAUACAUGCACAUCAACUGUAAGCAUAAAUGCUUAGUGAGUUCCCCAAUAUACAACUUACGCACAUACGCCUUUCCAGGCCCCGACCUUCCGGUCCAUGUGUCUCAGGGGACUUCCGUCCCUGCUGGGUAAACCUUCCGAUCCUACCCACGCCGACCUUCCGGUCCAUCACACAACAUAUCGCCUUCCGGCCCAUAACAUAUUGCCUUCCGGCCCAUAAUAUAAUCGCCUUCCGGCCCAUAACAUACAUAGCACAUAUAACAAAUAACUUACCACAUAUAGCAUACAUAUCACAUAUCAUAUCCGACCUUCCGGUCACACAGUCAAACCCUUCCGGGUACAGUAUAGUGAGAAGACUCACCUCGUGAAUGCUGAAAGCUAGCAAAUCCUGAAAUCACUCGUGCACAAUCCGACGAGCUACAACCUCCCUAUAACAUCACAUAUCUCUCAUUAACACUUAUAUCUUCUAAGUGUGACUAUCCCUAAGAAGUCAGACUUAGGUCAACUCUGGUCAACGGUCAACGGUCAACUCGACCGGACUCGGCGAGUACCAUGGCGACUCGGCGAGUCUAGACGUCCUCCAACUCUCUGAGAUUCCCUAUCUACUCGUCGAGUAUCCUCCUUGACCCGACGAGUUACUCCUGGAAGAAUCGCGGGGCCACCCCGACUCAACUCGCCGAGUCUGAAGAACAACUCGACGAGUCCCAGUUAAUCUUCAAGCUACUCGCCGAGUCUGUUCAUCGAACUCGGCGAGUCCAUGCCAUGCAACCGCUCAAACUGCAUCCUAAGGUCAGAACUGCUUCGACCAUUCCUAGGUCUGGCCUUCCUAGGCUGAUCCAUCACGUAAAGUCCUCAUUUCAGUGCUCAUGAUACACCAUAUGAUUCAUAAUUUACAUUUUGACCUAAGGCAUAAGGAUUCCAAUCCAAAACCUUCAUCAAUUCCCGAAAUGCACAGACAUGGGACAUUCUGGACCUCCAAAGGUCCCAAUACAGGGUUACAAUCGAUUAGGGGACUAGGGUAACAUUCAAUCUAUUCACAAAAGGGUUCCAUAAACCCUAAUUCCAUAAUCACAUCAACAUAGCAGAGUAUACUCGAAUUCUUACCUGGAUGAUGUAUUCUCUGUGUCCCCAAUCCUCAGAAUGUGACUCCCUUGCUGUUCCUUUAGCCAAUCCCUUCUCUUCCUUGCACAACCACUCUUCUAUAAUCAACAAUGGCCUAUAAUCCUUGCUCCAGAUGCACACAAUCGAUUUAGGGUUCUUCUCAGAAGGCUAAAAUGAACAAUGACGGCCAAUAAGUCCCUUUUAUACGUCCCAAACCUGAACGGUUAGGGUUUUCGCUAAACAGCGUAGACUCGCCGAGUCCAUAUCUGGACUCGUCGAGUCCAGUCGCGAACCCGCGACCAAGUCUGCGAUCCUACUCGGCGAGUCUAGGCUCCAACUCGCCGAGUCCCCUCUUAAAUCACCCCAAAAACAUAAUUAAACAAUACCUGAGAUUUCGGGCUGUUACAACUCUCCCCCACUAGGAUUAGACUUCGCCCUCGAAGUCUCACUCUGCAAAUAGUUCCGGAUGCUGCUCCCGCAUCUCACGUUCCGGCUCCCAAGUCAUUUCCGAUCCCUUACGGUGUUGCCACUGAACCAACACCAGAGGUACCUCCUUGUUCCUCAGAACCUUGAUCUUCCGAUCCCUGAUGGCCACUGGUCUCUCAGCAUAAUUCAGGCUCGCAUCCACCUGAAUAUCCUCCAAUGGAACCACUGCCGACUCAUCGGCUAUGCACUUCCUCAAUUGCGACACAUGAAAAGUGUCGUGGAUCUGUCCCAACUCCGCUGGCAACUCCAACCGAUAGGCUACCCGGCCUAUCCUUGCAAUCACACGAAAUGGCCCAAUAUACCGGGGCCCCAACUUGCCCCUCUUCCUGAAUCGAAUCACUCCUUUCCAAGGAGAGACCUUCAGGAGAACGAAGUCGCCGACUUGAAACUCAAGCUCGGAUCGGCGCCUGUCUGCAUAACUCUUCUGUCGGCUCUGGGCGGUCAAUAACCUCUGUCUAACUUGCUGAAUCUGCUCUGUCGUCUGAAGCACGAUCUCUGUGCUGCCCAUCACUCUCUGUCCCACCUCUCCCCAGCAAAUGGGGGUCCGACACCUCCUACCAUACAACAGCUCAAAAGGUGGCAUACCAAUGCUCGAAUGAUGGCUGUUGUUGUAGGAAAACUCUGCCAAGGGUAAAUACGCAUCCCAACUACCCCCGAAGUCUAACACACACGCUCGGAGCAUGUCCUCCAGCGUCUGAAUCGUCCGCUCGCUCUGACCGUCUGUCUGGGGAUGGUAUGCGGUACUAAAAUGCAAUUUAGUACCCAGCUCCUCAUGGAAUUUCUUCCAGAACCUGGAAGUGAAGCGCACAUCACGGUCUGAAACAAUCGAGAUCGGCACCCCAUGCCGAGAUACCACUUCUCUCACAUAUAUCUCCGCCAACUUCUCCGCUGAAGAACUCUCGCUGAUGGCAAGGAAGUGUGCACUCUUCGUCAACCUAUCCACAAUCACCCAAAUUGCAUCAACUCCCCUGGCAGUCCUCGGCAAUUUGGUGAUGAAAUCCAUAGUGAUCUGUUCCCACUUCCACUCGGGAAUCUCCAAUGGCUGUAACUUGCCAUGCGGUCUCUGGUGCUCGGCCUUAACCCUACGGCAGGUCAAGCACCUCUCAACGAACCAUGCAACGUCCCUCUUCAUACAGGGCCACCAAUACUCUUUCCUCAAAUCCAAAUACAUCUUCGUAGCACCGGGAUGGAUCGAGAAUUUCGAUCUAUGAGCCUCUUCCAUCAAAGUAAUACGCGUACCGCCCACGAACGGUACCCAAAUCCGACCCUGAAACGUCAGAAGCCCUCGUCCAUCCUUAACGAACUCUGAAAUUAACCCAACGACCCGCUCUUUCUUCUGCAUCUCUGGUCGCACAGCCUCGGCCUGUGCCCCACGAAUAGCAUCCAAUACUGGAGUCAUCACAGUCAGUCUCAAGCAUACAUCUCGCAAUGGAGUGCUCUCCGCCCUGCGGCUCAACGCAUCGGCUACCACAUUAGCCUUGCCUGGGUGGUACAGGAUCUCACAAUCAUAAUCCUUGACCACAUCCAACCACCUCCUCUGACGCAUAUUUAGGUUGGGCUGAUCCAUCAAAUACUUCAAGCUCUUAUGGUCCGUGUAUAUCGUACAUCGAACCCCAUACAAGUAGUGACGCCAAAUCUUGAGAGCGAACACUACUGCCCCCAACUCUAAAUCAUGCGUGGGAUAUCUCGCCUCAUGAGGCUUCAGCUGCCUCGACGCAUAAGCUAUCACAUGACCCCUCUGCAUCAACACUGCACCCAGUCCCGAAAUCGAUGCGUCGCAAUAUACUACAAAAUCUUCCAUCCCUUCCGGGAGAGCUAAUACCGGGGCUUCGCACAACCUCUGGCGAAGUGUCUCAAAGGAGGUCUGCUGCUCGGGCCCCCAUGAGAAUGCAACACCCUUCCGGGUCAAUCUGGUGAGCGGCACUGCGAUCUUGGAGAAAUCCUUAAUGAAUCUCCGAUAAUACCCUGCCAACCCAAGGAAGCUCCUGAUCUCAGAGGGUGACUUCGGCACCUCCCAACUCAUCACCGCCUCAACCUUGGCCGGAUCGACCAAUAUCCCUUUCUGAUUAACAACAUGUCCUAGAAAUUGGACCUCCCGCAACCAGAAGUCACAUUUGGAGAACUUUGCAUAAAGCUUCUCCGACCUCAAUACCUCAAGGACCUCCCUCAAAUGCUCCUCAUGCUGCUCUCUAGAUCUCGAAUACACCAGAAUGUCGUCGAUAAAUACAAUCACUGACCGAUCCAACAUCGGCCUGCAUACCCUGUUCAUGAGAUCCAUGAACACAGCCGGGGCAUUGGUGAGCCCGAAAGGCAUCACCACAAACUCAUAAUGCCCAUAUCGCGUCCUAAACGCUGUCUUCUGGACAUCCUCAUCCCGUACUCUCACCUGAUGGUACCCUGACCUCAGAUCGAUCUUGGAAAACCAAGACGCUCCCUGCAACUGAUCGAAUAAAUCAUCGAUCCUCGGUAACGGGUAACGGUUCUUGACCGUCAACUUGUUCAACUCCCGGUAAUCAAUGCACAUCCGGUGUGAACCAUCCUUCUUCUUGACGAACAGAAUAGGUGCUCCCCACGGCGAGCUGCUCGGCCGAAUGAAUCCCUUCCCCAGCAACUCCUGGAGCUGCGAGGACAACUCUUGCAUCUCUGGAGGUGCAAGACGAUAAGGCACCUUAGCAAUAGGCGCGGCCCCCGGAACCAGAUCGAUACCAAACUCUACUUGCCUCACAGGAGGUACUCCCGGCAGCUCCUCGGGGAAAACAUCUGGAAACUCACGCACCACAGGGACCUCCUCAACUGACUUCGGUCUCUCGGAAACCUCCCGCGUAUCCAUCACAUACGCCACAAAACCCUUACAGCCCUGCUGUAGACACUGCCUCGCCCUAGCGGCCGAACAAAAAGCUGAUCCCGAACGGGUACCCUCGCCGUACACCGAAAGAACUCCCCCACUAGGGUCUCGUAUAGUCACCAACUGACGCUCACAGUCGAUGACAGCGCCGAAUCGGCUCAACCAGUCCAUGCCCACGAUGACACAGACAUCACCCAUCGCAAUAGGAAUCAGGUCAAUCGGGAAUUCAACCCCGAAAAUCUCUAGUACACAUCCCCGAAGAACCUCCGUGGCACAAAUCACUUUCUCGUCAGCUAUAGAAACUCUCAAAGGUCGACUCAACGACUCACGACUAACGCUGAUAUGCUGACUAAAGGCUAAGGACACAAAGGACCUACUCGCACCCGAGUCAAAUAACACUAAGGCAGGCACAGAGUUCACAAGGAAAGUACCUACGCAUAUAAUAACAUAAGCAUAACAUCUCGACAUUAAAAUAAAUACAUGAAUUACAACAUACCUGCCACAACAUCGGGCGCAGCGCGGACCUCCUCCGCAGUCAGCUGAAAGGCUCUUCCCCGAGCCCUCGGGGCCUCGGCCUUCACCGGUCGAGUCGCAGUAGCUCCGGCAGCAGGUGCAGAUCCCUGAAGAAGCUGAGGGCACUCGGCCUUCCUAUGGCCUGUCUGGUUGCAAUGAAAGCAAACCGUAAAUCCCUUGGGACACUCCCUAGCAAUGUGCCCCUCCUUGCCACACUUGUAGCAAGCACCAGAUCGACAUACUCCAUCAUGACUCUUGCCGCACUUCCCGCAAGUGCGACCCUUCGAACCUCCUGUCCUCGAAUCAGCGGACUUGGUCCGCUUGGCUGCCGGCUGGGACUGAGCCGGUCGCCGGUCCACCCGCUGAGACUCGGCCUCCUCCCUGGCCUGGGUCUCCAACUCGAUCUCGCGCUUCCUGGCAUUCGCCUGAAGCUCAGCAAAAGUAUGGUAAGUGGAGUUUGACACAAACUCCCGGAUAUCCCUCCUCAACACUCCCAAGUACCGGCUCAUCCGAGCCUGAUCAGUGGACACCAGCUCGGGGCAGAACAUCGCCCUCUCAUGAAACUUCCGCGUGAUCACCGCAACAGAAUCAGUACCCUGCUUGAGGGUUAAGAACUCCUGAACCAAUCGUUCCCUCUCCACCGGGGGAACGUACUCGUCCCUGAACAUAGCAGUAAACCCCUCCCAUGUCACUGCUGUAGUCUCUGCCAAAGUGAAGUUCGCCGUCACGAACUUCCACCAGUCCUUCGCUCCCAGACGGAGCUGGUUCAAAGCGAACCGUACCCUCAGGUGCUCCGGGCAUGAACAAGUGUAGAAGCACCCCUCUAUAUCCGCGAUCCACCUCAUCGCAGCAAUCGGAUCCUGCGUCCCAUCGAACUCUGGUGGCUUCGUGUUGCUGAACUCUCGGAACAGCAACGAGUCACCCCCCUGUGGCCUAGCAGCGGCCACAGCUGCGGUAGCUGCAGCGGUUGCAGCCUCAGUCAAUGCGGCGUACCGCUCAUCAAACGUCUCCAUCAGGGUGGUCUUAAUAGACCCAAACAUCUCCGGGAUCUCAGCCCGGAUCGCCGCAGCUACCUCCUCGUGAAUCAUCUGACGAAUCUCCUCGUCACUCACACCGCUCGAACUCGCUCCGUGGCGUGGUCUAACCAUGAUGUCUCUGAAAUACAACAUAAAACUAUCAGAGACUCCAUCGAGUAUAAUCGCACUCGAUAACGCAACCCUACUCAGUCUCCGAUAUCCAGGGAUUCUUACUUGGGUCUCCCACUGACCCGGUGUCUUCGGUAGUACGGGCCCAAUACUACCGACCACACCGCAUCAGCAUUCAUCCCAAGUCUUCCUCCCCAAACCCCGGAUAGUGAGUACUCUACUUCUGUUAUGCACUAUCUACCCGCACACUAGCAAAGCAUCUCAUAUCGGCAAACUUCCCUAGACUAAGGCAUCACAAAUCAGGCCACUCUAGUCCUAUCAUGAAUACCUAGUCUUCUAGCAUGCAUAACAAUUUAUAUCAUAUAAUAUUGUAAGGUAUUUUGGGGAUCUUUACCGUUCGGGCGCUGACUGAUCGUACACACUGCUUCUUUCUUGCUUACCACAAAACCAUUUACAAAAGUUUAUGCCUUUAUUUAAAAAGUUUUCCUCAAAUCCUCGGUUUGAGUUCAGUUACUCCCGAAGGUGCACCCGAAUCCCUCAAACCAAGGCUCUGAUACCAAUUGUAACAACGCAAAUUUUCAAACAAAUUUUUCAUUUUAAAAAUAGAGUAUUUUCAUUCAAAACAAGGCAUAAAUAAUUUAAGUGUCAUGUCAAAUACAAACUGUCUAAAUCCCAAGAUCAUAAAAACAUUCUUCAGUGUGUAUCGAUCACGCCGGCGCCUUCCCACGGUCCUCGCUAGUACCUGAAACACAUACAUAACAACUGUAAGCAUAAAUGCUUAGUGAGUUCCCCAAUAUACAACUUACGCACAUACGCCUUUCCAGGCCCUGACCUUCCGGUCCUCAACACAACGCCUUCCGGCCCAUAACAUAAUCGCCUUCCGGCCCAUAACAUAUUGCCUUCCGGCCCACAUAACAUACAUAGCACAUAUAACAAAUAACUUACCACAUAUAGCAUACAUAUCACAUAUCAUAUCUGACCUUCCGGUCACACAGUCAA
rnacentral:lncRNA from 1 species